CUCAGUCUACAGGACUCGUAGAUAACCACUUGAUUGAGCUGAUGAGUGGACUCAGAAGUGGCAUUGUUUUUUAUUGACGGAGA